UACGUAGGUGGCAAGCGUUAUCCGGAAUUAUUGGGCGUAAAGCGCGCGCAGGUGGUUUCUUAAGUCUGAUGUGAAAGCCCACGGCUCAACCGUGGAGGGUCAUUGGAAACUGGGAGACUUGAGUGCAGAAGAGGAAAGUGGAAUUCCAUGUGUAGCGGUGAAAUGCGUAGAGAUAUGGAGGAACACCAGUGGCGAAGGCGACUGUCUGGUCUGUAACUGACACUGAGGCGCGAAAGCGUGGGGAGCAAACAGG
rnacentral:rRNA from 1 species